rnacentral:hammerhead_ribozyme from 1 species
AUCCGGUUGACGAGUCUCAAACGGGACGAAAUGCACAUCCUAGAU